AGGGGGGCGAGGGCGACCCUCUGGUCAAGACUGACGCUCAGUGCGAAAGCGUGGGGAGCAAACGGAUUAGAUACCUGGUAGUCCCGCCGUAACGAUGUCUGCUGGAGUUUGGGGGUUCCGCCCCGGCUUCCUGAGCUAAACCCUUAAGUCACCCCCCCGGGGAAUACCGCCCCAAAGGAUUAAACUCAAAUGAAUUGACGGGGGGCCCCACAAACGGGGGAACAUGGGGUUUAAUUUGAUGCAACCCGAAAAACCCUUCCCACGCUUGGCAUCCCGCGAACUUUCCAAAAAAGCUUUGGUGCCUUCGGGGGCUCUAAUGCCGGGGGGGGAUGGGUGUCCUCCGCUUCUGUUGUGAAAAGUUGGGUUAAGUUCCGCAACCAGCGCAACCCUUUUCCUUUGUUGCCCACGGUUCGGCCGGGAACUCUAAGGUGACUGCCAGUGAUAAACUGGAGGAAGGUGGGGAUGACGUCAAGUCAUCAUGGCCCUUACGACCUGGGCUACACACGUGCUACAAUGGCGCAUACAAAGGGAAGCGACCUCGCGAGGGCAAGCGGAUCUCACAAAAGUGGCUCUCAGUUCGGAUUGGAGUCUGCAACUCGACUGCCUUGAAUUGGAAUCGCUAGUAUCGCAGAUCAGAAUGCCACGGUGAAUACGUUCCCGGGCCUUGUACACACCGCCCGUCACACAACGAGAUUACCUGCGAUUCUUGGA
rnacentral:rRNA from 1 species